AUUGAACGCUGGCGGCAGGCCUAACACAUGCAAGUCGAACGAGUGGCGGACGGGUGAGGAAUGUCUGGGAAACUGCCUGAUGGAGGGGGAUAACUACUGGAAACGGUAGCUAAUACCGCUAAACAUCGUAUGUGCCCUGAUGGGAUGAGCUAGGAGGGGGGGUACCGGCUAACCUAGGCGACGAUCCCUAGCUGGUCUGAGAGGAUGACCAGCCACACUGGAACUGAGACACGGUCCAGAUGCCUACGGGAGGCAGCAGUGGGGAAUAUUGCACAAUGGGCGCAAGCCUGAUGCAGCCAUGCCGCGUGUAUGAAGAAGGCCUUCGGGUUGUAAAGUACUUUCAGCGGGGAGGCGUUACCCGCAGAAGAAGCACCGGCUAACUCCGUGCCAGCAGCCGCGGUAAUUC
rnacentral:rRNA from 1 species